UUUAUCGGAGAGUUUGAUCCUGGCUCAGGACGAACGCUGGCGGCGUGCCUAAUACAUGCAAGUCGAGCGGACAGAUGGGAGCUUGCUCCCUGAUGUUAGCGGCGGACGGGUGAGUAACACGUGGGUAACCUGC
rnacentral:rRNA from 2 species